GAAAAGGCCCUUUUCAGGGUCACAAAUUCAAAAUACAAGAGCCCUU
rfam:Stegodyphus mimosarum contig127293, whole genome shotgun sequence.